rnacentral:tRNA from 1 species
UGGGGAAUCGCCAAACGGCAAGGCAAGGGACUUUGACUCCCUCAUCGCAGGUUCGACUCCUGCUUCCCCAU